UACAGAGGUCUCAAGCGUUGUUCGGAUUCAUUGGGCGUAAAGGGUGCGUAGGCGGCGCGGUAAGUCGGAUGUGAAAUCUCGGAGCUUAACUCCGAAACUGCAUUCGAUACUGCCGUGCUUGAGGACUGGAGAGGAGACUGGAAUUUACGGUGUAGCGGUGAAAUGCGCAGAUAUCAGGAAGAACACCCGUGGCGAAGGCGGUUCUCUGGGACGGUACUGACGCUGAGACGCGAAAGCGUGGGGAGCGAACAGG
rnacentral:rRNA from 1 species